CACUUGUGGGGUGCUCGAGUCGAACGGGUGAGUAACACGUGGGUGAUCUGCCCUGACUUUGGGAUAAGCCUGGGAAACGGUCUAAUACCGGAUAUGACCAUGGGAUGCAUGUUCUGUGGUGGAAAGCUUUUGCGGUGGGAUGGGCCCGCGGCCUAUCAGCUUGUUGGUGGGGUAAUGGCCUACCAAGGCGACGAGGUAGCCGACCUGAGAGGGUGAUCGGCCACACUGGGACUGAGACACGGCCCAGACUCCCGGGAGGCAGCAGUGGGGAAUAUUGCACAAUGGGCGCAAGCCUGAUGCAGCGACGCCGUGAGGGAUGACGGCCUUCGGGUUGUAAACCUCUUUCAGUAGGGACGAAGCUUCGGUGAGUACCUGCAGAAGAAGCACCGGCCAACUACGUGCCAGCAGCCGCGGUAAUACGUAGGGCGAGCGUUGUCCGGAAUUACUGGGCGUAAAGAGCUCGUAGGCGGUUUGUCGCGUCGUCUGAAAUUCUGCAACUCAAUUGCAGGCGUGCAGGCGAUACGGGCAGACUUGAGUACUACGGGAGACUGGAAUUCCUGGUGUAGCGGUGAAAUGCGCAGAUAUCAGGAGGAACACCGGGCGAAGGCGGGUCUCUGGGUAGUAACUGACGCUGAGGAGCGAAAGCGUGGGUAGCGAA
rnacentral:rRNA from 1 species